ensembl:lncRNA
GGAGGUAGAGGUUUGUGACCAGCGGUUGCAGGAUUGGACACAUUUUGAGUUUAAAGGGGGACGGCUCUGAGUCAGCUGGGCAUCCAGUGUGAUUGCCGGCCCUGGGCCCUCAAUGGAAAGUUGUGGAGAGAAGCUGUGGUUGCCAGGCACCUCCUGAGGUGACUCUAUCAGAGCCAGUCAAGCCUGAAAUCAAUCACUCAAACCUAUCAAAGGCUGCCCUGCCCCGCCAUUGUGAACCAGCCAUCUGGGCCUCUGCAUACUGUUUGAGUUAGUUUCAGUGUGUGUGUGUGUGUGUGUGUGUGUGUGUAUCUGCAUGUGUAACUAAAUGAAUAGAGGGGGUUUAUGACAGUUACCACCACUGCACACAGGUUUUUGCCUCCGUGAAACAUUCACUUCACGCUUUCAUUCACGACACUUCUAGGACGGACGGUGACAUAAUAGCUUGAGUCUAUAGUUGACGUGCAUUAGGAACCCCAGGAUUUGGCAUCAAGCACUGAGUCCAGCUACCUAACCAGCUGCAAGGGGCGAUGGGACGGCCCAACGGGCAGCUCUCCCAGGCCAAGCUAACGAACUGUCCUGCUGCAGAACAUGCGGGAUGGGGCUAAGCGCACAGUGUCUGCCAUUGGAGGGCAGUAGAACACAGAGCAUCUAUCAGUAUGUCUGUCUUCAUUGUAGUCUCACACAUUGUGCUCUGACUAGGGGCCGCUCACAGCGGGGCCAAAGCCUGGAAGGACUGUGGAGAGGUCAGACCGGAGGAUUGGUUUGCUGUGGCUGUCGAAACUACGGCAUACCAUCGACUAAGCUGCCAUCAGUAACUCACUGGAGAAGAGAAAAAGGUGAUUUAAUGAAAGUUUAAGUUUAAGUUAAACACAAAACUUUGCUUCAUGUUUACAUGCAGAAAUUUUGGAAAUGGUAAUCGGAAGGAAAUUUUGAUACCAUUCAAUGAUUCUCAUUCAUUAAAGAUUCAAUAAACAGUUCUCUUAUUACUUCUGAGGAAGUACA